GAUAUUGCACAAUGGGGGAAACCCUGAUGCAGCGACGCCGCUUGAGUGAAUAAGUAUUUCUGUAUGUAAAUCUCUAUCAGCAGGGACGAUAAUGACGGUACCUGACCAAGAAGCCUCGGCUAACUACGCGCCAUCAGCCGCGGUAAUACGUAGGGGGCAAGCGUUAUCCGGAUUUACUGGGUGUAAAGGGAGCGUAGACGGUGUGGUAAGUCAGGUGUGAAAGCCCGGGGCUCAACCCCGGGAUUGCACUUGAAACUAUCAUGCUAGAGUGCAGGAGAGGUAAGUGGAAUUCCUAGUGUAGCGGUGAAAUGCGUAGAUAUUAGGAGGAACACCAGUGGCGAAGGCGGCUUACUGGACUGUAACUGACGUUGAGGCUCGAAAGCGUGGGGAGCAAACAGG
rnacentral:rRNA from 1 species